GGGGGCGACUGGUAUCGACCGGAUAGGUAGAUAGUCAGGCGGCAUGCCCAGGAUGACAGUAGGCCUGGAUAAUCAUCUGUCAACUAAACUUUUAAUUGGCGCAAAUAACUACGCCAUGGCUGCCUAAUAAAUUGCAGCCCGUCUUAUUACCGUCUCUUCCCGCGGAUGGUUUUAAGACGUCGAUUAGCGGGAUAAGCGCUUUUCCUGCCUUGUGUUAAGCGACGAAAACUUAAAGGCUGGUUCUCAAAGCAGUCUGUCUCUGGACGGUUUUGAGGAUGAGAUCAAAUCAUGAGACUAAGCAUGUAGAAACCUGUCUUGAAAUAUCACGGGACGGGGGUUCGAAUCCCCCCGCCUCCAGUA
rfam:Phycisphaerae bacterium SM-Chi-D1, complete genome.